UGAAGCAACCGCAACUUCUUAGAGUUUACUGCCAAUCAGUUAACCAGAGCUGGCAUGUAGGGUGCAGCGUAUAGGAACUCUACGAAAGCUAUGCCUAAAUUAAGAUAAUCAUGUUUAUUACAUGAACUCUUAAUGUAUAGUUUGGACAACUGAGCCAGCAAGUUACACAACAAGAAACCAAGCUUAAUCACAGACCCAGAACUGCCUUAGUUGAUCCCAGGUCAUUUGACUCUUUGACUGCCAAUUAGAAGUCACAGCUUAUGAAAUUACUUACAAAAAGAAGAUGAAACAAUGAUGAUGAAGAAAAAGAAGAAAAGGAAAAGAUGGCAACAAAGAAAGAGAAACAGAAACGGAAAAGGAAGAAGAAGAAACCAAAAAAAAAAAAAAAAAAAACCACACACACACACAAAAUGAAACCCUGCCUCUGGAGUACAUUGUCUUUAUUAAUAAAGAUAUUACCAUACUUCAGUUCAAAACCAUGAAACUUGACAGCAGACAAUGUGUCUUUAGGGCAGACAUAAAUCCUGUCUCCCAACACCAACAUCAUAAAAUGGUUGUACUAUAUUUGGAAUUAGAUGUGUUUGGAUACUUAUAUUUGAAUGUAAGUAUGACUGAUGGUCUAGGAAUUCAUAAUCCUUCAAAAUGUUGAACUAAACCACUUGUUUAAUGGAGCAGCUCUCCCACUCUGAGCCUGCUUGCUGUCUGGAAUACAUCUCCGGCUGGGAAUGGUAGAGAUAGGGGUUUUUGCUUUCUCUCUUCCGCUCUGAGGGAGCUGAAUAAACAGAGUCAGUGAUAACUUCAACCAAAAAAAAAGUCACUUAGGUUGAAAAAGUGGUAGUCACAAGAAAUUUAAAUCUAGGAUUUGAUAUAGUAUAAGACACCCACAAUGCAAACUUGACUAUAUUCCUAAUCCAAUUUUAUUCUAUUGAUAAUGUGGCUACUCCAUUUAUAAGAAAAAUAGUACAGUUCAGCUCAUUACAACACCAAUUCUAUUAGCAACUGCAACCUAUUUUUACUUAUUAGUAUAACCCCUAAUUUAAAAAAUUGAGGUGGAUUACACCAACAGAUACAUACAUUUGAGGCUAUAAAUAGAAAUUGAAAAUAAAAUUCCAUACAGAAGAAGUUAAAACAUACCAAAGUUAAUAAAUUAGAGUGAUUGCGCAUUAAAUUUAUUUCAUGUAUAAUCUUAAAAGCUGAUUUUCUUAAAAGCAAAUGGAAAAUGGUUAGAUGUUUUGAAAUUCUCAUAUUUGAAUAAAACAAAACAUACUGCUUCAUUAGGAACUUUAAUUUUAUUCCUGACAGUUGUGAGUUCUUUAAAUGCAGAACUGUGGACAAACUAAGAACAAUGCCCUAACAUGAAUCUAACAGAACAUGCAAACACAAUAUUUAUGGAGCUUUUUCAUUCUGAAGUUACAGCAGCAAAAUACAAUGAGGCAUCCUCAGUAGAGAACUAAGCCAACUGAACUUGAUGAAGUUAGAAUUAAAACUUAAAGUAUCUGAUUAGCCUUCUCAAAGAUCUAUUGCCUCACAGUGGUAGCUGGUCUCCAAAGAUGGCUCCACUUUCUCCCCUCCCGGCAGACACAUGCUGCUCCUCACAUCCAAAGGUAGGUCUUAAUAGUCCAUGCCCUUCAAUCUGGAUGAGGCCUAUGACUUGGAUGGAAUUCCAGGUCAUGCGAUUCCAGGCUAAGUUUGAAGAAAGUCUGGUAGUUCCCACUUUUGUGCUCUUGAGAGAUCCUGAGCUGCCACGGAAAAAGUCUGGCUAUGCUGCUCUAAAGACCAUGUAGAGAGGCCACGUAUAGAAAGGGGACAACCUGAGACUAUAUAAAGGAGAAUCAAGGAAUCCAGGCAAUGUCGAGGACAUAUGAGCCCAUGUGACCCCAGCCAGCCAGCCCCCAGCCCUUCGAGUUAGCCUACGGUCAAUAUGUGGGAUAAACACACGUGACCAGGGUCAGGAGGCUGCUGUUCAAGAUCCAGCCCCAACAGACACUCACUCUGAGCAAGGCCUAGUCGCUGCAUCUGGGGCUCAGUCUCCCCAUUUGAAAAAAACCACAUUCAAUGGCUCCAUCCCGGGGGCAGGUUCAGGCAGGAAACUGCAUGAGAGAGAGCUUUAAAACUUGGAAGGCCCCCAGCAGAGCCAGACGAGUGGCUCUUUGCUUCCUUUAUUCUCCUCCUCAGUGGGUCCAUUUAGAUAAACCACACCCAAGUAAAUAGGGCGGCAGGCGCCAGUGCCUGGUCACAGAACCAGAUGCAUACGUGAAGAAGUCAUACUGCCUGUUCCAGCCCAACUGACAUUGUGGGGCACAGAGACAAGAUUCCCCACUGUGUCCUGUCUAAAUUCCUGAGCCACAGAAUCAUGAGAAAGAAUAAAAUUGUUGUUUUAAGCCAUGAAGUCUGGGGCAAUUUGUUACGUAGCAAUAAAAUAACUCAAACACUCACAAAUGAAAAUACUUUGUUUCAUGGUAGUAGAGGGCCUAGGCCUGAUCUCGUUUCCCUUUAUUUUCUCUUUAUGGUGCUACAGUGACUUCGUGUAUGGUUAAGUUUGAAUAUAUAUGGAGGUGGGAGCAUUCUAGGUCCUCCUCGCCUUUGUCUUUCACAACCAACUAGUCAAGUACUGUCUGCAUUAACUCUGGAACCACCUGAGUCUCUUCUUUCUUCACCCCUUUCACUGAAUUUGCUCAGACCAUCGUGGACUCUCACUGUGACUCCUAUAUUAGCCUCCCAAAUCCAAAUCUCCCUGCCUUUAGUCUCUCUUCUCUCUAAUCAUCUACCUUUCACACCCCUACCCAGUGGCAAAGAUCUGAUCAUGUUCCUAUCUUAGAAUCCUUUACUAGCUCCCCGUCCUUGCCUUUCACAACAAUCAGUGACAUUUAUGUUUCCACUAGUCCCUCUCCUUUCCCUAACAACGUUGCCACCUAUGUACGGGCUCACAAGAUUGCUCAAGGUUGCAAACUGCACAGCUCCAGAGGGCACUCGUUUCAUAGACUGCACUACAAACCAUGUCACUUGGAACCAUGCCGUGCCAACCCUGCCCAACUGCAGUCAAUGUCCUAAGACCUCAGACACUUCAUAUCCCUUUCCCUUGAUGUAUUUUUCACUCAUCUUUCCUUUAUUUCUCAGCUAUACUUACUCCAAGCUCUAGUUUAUAUAAUUAACCAUACCCAGUUAAUCAGCUCAUCAAAAUUGCUCAGAGUUCAACCAUCAAAAACUAUUCUAUUGAACAUGUGCCGCAUACCCAGUUCCUAGAUGUUCCUAGAGAUAAAUAAAACAAGCAAGAUCUCUGCCUUCAAGGGGUUCUCACUCCUAGUAGACAGUCACUUUUUAUCACGCAGAUCAGAGGUUGUUAAACUUUUUCUGUAAAGGACCAAAGAGCAAAUGUUUCAGUUUUAUGGGCCAUACUGUCUCUGUUGCAACUACUCCACUCUGCUGCUGUAGGGAGAAAGCAGCCAUACAUAAUAAGUAAAUAAACAGGCAUGGAUUUGUUUCAAUAAAACUCUAUUUUCAAAAAAAGCGAGCUUGGUCUUCAGUUUGUUGACCACUGAUAAACUUUUUUUUUUUUUAAGACAGGAUCUUGCUCUGUCGCCCAGGCUAGAGUGCAGUGGCAUGAUCAUAGCUCACUGCAGCCUCAACCCUCUGGGCUCAAGUGAUCCUCCUGCCUCAGCCUCCCAAAGCACUGGCAUUACAGGAAUAAGCCACCAUGCCCAGCCCUAAUAGACUUUCACUGUAAAGUCACUUCUGAUCAAUCCCAUUCCCACAGUGAUGCUUCCCUUGGCUUGUAACAGCAUCUGCCAUCAAUAAAUGUUGAGUCUUUCCACAUAGCAAUGGUGGGAGAAGAUUCUUGGGAAAUGAAGGUAUAAAAGGUAUGGAAGAAAAAAACUUACCAGCUACAAGAUUUAUUAUAACUGUAAAGCAGUAAAAUAUUAAGAUUAAGAGCUCCAGCUAUGAAGCUAGAUUUCCCAACUCUACCACUUACUAGUUUAUGUCCCUGGAGUAAUUACUGAAACUCUGCAUCCCUUGUUUCUUCAUUUGUUAAAUGAAUAAAUAAGCUUAAUUUUCCUCAUAAAGGAUUUAUGUUUUAAAAGAAUUAGUAUUUGCAAAGUACAAUCAUAAGUGAUACAUCAGAGCUUUUUUUUUUUUUUUUUUUACCAUUAUGGCUGCAAUUUAACGUAAAAAAAUUGGGCUGAGUUUACAGGCAACCAAGGUUAAAAAAUGAAAAAGAAAUAAUUAAAUAACUCAUACGACUGGUCGUGAUUUAAGACACAUACCAAUUUCCACUGGAAAGAGAAAUACUUCUUGCAACCCUAUUCAGAGAGAUUUCUCACAGGGGACAUGACAGCAAGAGGGUUCUGAACAACAUAAACAGCAAUGCCUCCAGCUCAGAAGCCCACACAAUGCCCAGCAGGCUGCCUGCAAUGGUUACCUACCACCCUCACACAAGUCAAGGUCUAAUAUUAAAAUAUAAUACGCUGUCCAAAGUCCCGCUGGCUCUAACAUCCUAUGAUUCUUUCUGUUUUAUUAAUGUAUUUGCAGAAAGUUUCUUGUUGGACUAAAUAAUACUGUGUGAUUAACCAUACUUAGGAUUUGUGAACUAGCAUGAAAGAAUAUUAGGAAUUUUAAGUGGAAUUUUACCAACGUCUUGGGCCUGCAUUUUUGUCUGGUGGAAUGAAAAACCAAAACCAUAACUAAAAUUAAUGGAGAAAGAAAAGUUAACGUUAAGUUUUGUCUUUAGAACUUAACCUCUGCAUCCCUCGGCUCUCACAUCUGUGAAGGGAAGCUUAUGAAAGCACCCAGCUUGUAGAGUGGCUAUGAGGAUUCAAUGAAUUAUCAUAUGCAAAACAGUAAGAACAGUGCUUAGCAACAUAUAGUGCUUAGUAACAUAUAGAUGUUACCUAAAUGUUACCUACCAUGGCUGCAAUUGUUAUUAUGUAUUUGUUUAGACUUAAUACCAGACCCCCAUUCCAGGGACGCUACCCUUCUGUGCACUCAUGGUUCCUGAAGUACCCCCAGGGUUAUGGGGUAUAUGUCUCUGGCCUUCCACAGAACUAAACUCAAGCUAGCAUUCAAUCAAGCCUUCUUGAAUUAAUGAACUUUCUGAAACCCCACUUAAUGAUGAGUUAGUGGUAAAAUGCUUAUAAUGGGAUUCUUGUCUUCGAUGAUUUAACUAUCUAAUGAGAAAAUCGACCUGAACAAUCAUGAAACACUAAACUAUCAAGUGCCUGAGUUAGGCCACAUAACUCAGGCCUGAUAUAUUAUUGAUGUCGGUUUCUUCAAAGAAUCUCAUGAGAAAAAAAUUCUAAGUUGCUUAAGCAGGCCCAUUUGCUGGGUUCAUGUUUAAAAACAAAGAAACUGUUAAAAGAAUGUAUUUCUCUUUCAAGAAAACAUUUGUAAAAUCUUAUUUUCACAUUGAAAAUAAAGCUAAAACUCCCAAAGUGGUUAGGCUGAUUGGCUUAUUGGAAGAAAAAGCCAACAAACUGGUACAUGAAUACUCUAAUAAUUUUUUAGUAUUUUGCUUGAUUAGAGUCAUCAGUAUAAUACUAUAAUUUUUAAAGUAUGUGCUACACAAGACAAUAAAGGAACAUUUUAAUAUUCUUUAAAAUUCCAAAUAAGGUUGAAGGGAAGUCUGUACUCCAUUUCCAUCAGCUCUCAUCUCAUUUCACCAUAGGCUGAUGUAUGUUUUAAUUAAUUUGUAUUACCAACUUACACAUUUUUAUAAACAACCUCUAUGUCCUCAAUGUUACAAAAUGAGUCACAUAAAUAAAUACUUUGUCUCUACCUUCUUGUUUCAUGUGUGGAAUUGCUGAAAUCUUCUAUUUAAGAACACUAUAUCCUUUUUUAAAAAAAAAUUGUGUCCCAAUAUUUUAGCUUAAUCUUUUCAAUAAAUGUAAACCAUACCCCUGCAGGAGUCUUUCCCCAUAUUUAAUUAUUAGCCCAUCUGACUUCAGGUGAAGUCUUAAAGUCCCCUUUAUAAAGUAAAAUGGACUUUAUAAAGUCUACAGAACUUUUUCUGUAUUCCCUAUUAUAGUUCUUUAUUUUAAUAACAGACUUCUACAUAACUAAUCCCUUGGAGUUUGCCAUCACAUAAUCUACCAUGGGUAUGAACUGUUCCAUGUGUAUUUUUCUGGCAACAAGACCUCUGGAAAAAAAUAAACAAAUAAACAAAGACCAAAAGGAAUCACACACAAGGGGACAAAUUGUGUCAAAUACAACUGGUCUCAUGUACCUAUAAACCACACAAGGGCAGAAGUCUCAAUCCGUCUUCUCCAAGGUUUGGGAAAGGAGAUCUCACUGUGAAGAACUUUUCCCCCUUUGACAGGAAACAGUAAUAUUUCCUUACUUGGGAGCUAAAGCAAUAAGGCAAUCAUAAAUAAAUGGUGCAUAACUACCGCUAUUCAAGUACAGUUGAGUUUUUUCUUUUUUGGACUGUCUCCCACACGUUUUGCCUAAUCACCAUUUAGAGUUUAGCUGAGAAAAAUUCCCAUGAAUUGAAAGUCAAACAAAUAACGUUAUGAUUUUAUUAUUUUUCAUAAACCCAUUUCACAUAUCAAGCAAUGCCCAAGGAAAAGAAAACUACCAUACAUUUAUUAUUUCACGCGGUUUUGAAACUUGAACAAAUCUCAUUUGAAAAUAGAGAAAAAUGCAAUUUUUGCAGCGUGGAGGGGGACCACACUGAUCCCAUUUUUAAAAAAGGAUUUCCUGUAAAAACAGAAAUUGGCAAUUUACUCUAAGAAAACACAGCAGAAGCUGGGAAGAAACUUGAGGAUGCCUAAAUUUCCACUGUGGAACAACUUUUGCUGCCCAGUGGGGAGAGAAGAAAAAAAAAAAAGAACACCUGCAACAGGGUGGGAGGAGAGGAAGACAAGCUGGGACUGCACAUCCAGUGAGCAGAAAAUGAGGCAGCUUUCUAAUCUAGGAAGAGAGGGAGCUGACAAGAAAGGAAUAUAUAUGCAUUUGAAGAAUACCAAGGCGGAUUCUGUAGUCACCUGCCACAUCAGAGAAAAACAAGAAGGCAGUAUUUGCUGGGGAGAAGGAACCAGUGCACAGCAGAUACUGAUGAGUUUAAAGUACCUUUUAACUGGAGGAAAGAUUAGUGAGGUGCUGAAAGUUGCUGCCACCAACUGGGCAUCAGGCAGACUCGGGGGUUACAAAUCACUUUCACUUCAUAAACUGUGCAUCUCCAAUCAGAAUGGUAAACAGGUUUCACUGUAGUCAAAGAGGUGAGUUUUGAAGCCGGUAAUAUUUUAACAGACAAAAACAGAAAUUUUAAGCAAUAACUGGAAAAAUGUAGUACAUAACUGCUUUUUCUGAUGAUUUAUAUAGCAGGGCACUGUUAAAGGAUUUAUUCAUAUGAGACUGUAAUGGCAAUAAGCAGAGGGAAUAAAUUUAAAAUGUUAUUCAAAUUUAACAUAAGAAUUGGGGUUUGCUUAAAAUCUAUGGGAAAGCCUUUGAUCCAGCAAUUCUAUUUUUACUAAUUUAUACCACAUAUAAACACGUGUAUGUAAACACAGGUAUGCAGAAGAAAGUUGGUAAUAGCAAAAGACUCAAUGUAAUCUAAAGAGCCAUCACUAGGGAACUGUUCCAGUGACAUAAUGAGGUUCUAUACAACAAGAAAAUGGGGUAGGGCGCAGUGGCUCAAGCCUGUAAUCCCAGCACUUGGAGAGGCAGAGGUGGGUGGAUCGCUUGAGGCCAAGAGUUUGAGACCAUCCUGGCCAACAUGGCGAAACCCCAUCUCUACUAAAAAUACAAAAAAUUAGCCGGGCUUGGUGGCACGCACCUGUAAUCCCAGCUACUCUGGAGGCUGAGGCAGGAGAAUCGCUUGAGCCGGGAAGGUGGAGGCAGUAAGCCAAGAUUGCACCAUUACACUCCAGCCUGGGCAACAGAGCAAGACUGUGUCUCAAAAAAAAAGAAAGAAAAUGAAUGAGGUAGAUCCAUAUGAGUUAAUAGAUGGAUGAAUUAAAGAUACAUAAAAAGUAAGUAAAGUUCAGAAUAUUGCAUGUACAGUACAUUCCAUGUAUUAAAAAGGAUACACACACACACACAUAUGUGUGUAUGUAUACAUAUAUAUUUGUGUUUAUUUGUACAUGUAUACAUACGCCUAAAAGAUUUAUAGAAAAAUACACAAGAAAAUGGUCUCUGAAAGGUGGCAGGGAAAUACUUUUAAUUGUAUAUAUUUUUAAAUUAUUAUUUUCACCCCCGUGUGUGUGUGUGUGUGUGUGUAUAUAUAUAUAUAUCACUUAUUAUAAAAUCUUAUAGUUAACAUGAGAAUUAGGAACACACAUAAUUACAAUUCUAUUAAUACCCUGUUUUUAGGAAGGCUUUAUAAAUAGUUUACAAUAGGAUAAGGUCUGUGUUAAUGAUCAAAUACUGUGAGGAGCACAGAGAGGUAUCUCUCUAUAAUCACAAACAAAUUUAAAACCAGAGAGAAAAAGCACAAGUGUGAGUAAAAGUGUGGCAUCCUGUUAAGCAACAAAGUAAAGCUUAGUUUCUUUUUUCACAUUCCCAAGGGAACACACUAGUUGGUGACAGCCCAGAGAAAUGAGACAAAUGUCUGACCAGGCCUCACACCUCUCUGCAGAUCUUCAGCCACAGAAUUAAAUCCCCAUGUCCUUUAUAUAUAGGAGCAAUCCUAUCAGAAUAGAUAUUAAGAUAUUAUUAUGUAGGAGAAAUGUAUUUUUGAAGGAAAAAUACUGGACUAAAUGAGGUCCUCUUGAGAACAUAUGAAAAUCAGAGCCUCAGUCUACUUAUUGAACUUGCCAUGUGCCUUACACACAGGGCAAUAAACAUCUGCUGUCUGAUCAGGGUCAGGCUUACCAUGAUAAGCAAACUUCCUUCCAACAUUAUCGGAAUUCUGGGUUUAUUUUCCACGAAGGCCAAGAUGGAACCGAAUUAAUCAUAACUAUUUUCUGUGCUAUUUUAUCACAGCCUAAGUGCUUGGCUCAUACAAUCAUCUUGUCCUUACUCCAGACUAGGAGUCAAAAACUGGUCUGGUGAGUUUACUUUUUCUUCUCAUAUCUGGGCCAUACAAACACAAAUUUUACUACAUAUACAUGACUAUAACACCUCACAACAAAAAAAGAGUUAAGUGAAAUGAUCAGCCACAUAUCCAAGUGGAUACCAUCACUUGGUGCCCCAGAGCUAUAUAAUAAAGCUACAGAACCACUCAGGAAAAGAGCAUCAGCGAGAAUGGUAAGAAUUUAAUACAAAAUCUCCCUAUAUAUACUGUCUGAAUUUAUUUAACAGGCUCCUCCAAGAAGAUAAAAGGGGUCAUUGACAGUCCAUCCUGCUGUUUCCAUGGAGGCUUUAACUUAAACAACUGCAGACAAAUUUAUCUUAAAGGAAAUGUAUUCCCACUGUCCUUCAAUACAGGAAAGUGACAACCCUUAGUCAAGUCUAAUUAAAAUUUUUCCGGCUGAAACAUCUAUAACAGUGGCAUGGGAAGCCAGUGAAAUGGUCAAUUGCAUGUACACAACACAAACACCACUAGUUAAAAAUACUCCCUUAAGGCCGGCCACAGCAGCCUUACUGCUGCAGUGAAACAGAGAGCCCCACACAACUCAAAAAACCAGUUCUCAGAACUACUUGCCCUGUUCUGCUUCCAAUGUAGACAUCUAAAGGAAGCAUUGCCCAGAAAACCCAAUCCGUAAUUUUAAUAAGCAUAAUUUACGGAAGAGUCAACUACUGUGUGAUUUCUCCUCUGACUGUCAUGGGAAUCCCUUCCUUUCCUUGCCCCCUUUCAAAUACAGCAUCUACCAAGAUGACCCCAAGGAAAGUACUUUCCUCUAGAAACAACCAGAAUUGAUAUUGCAGAGAAAGGAAUGGGCUUCUCCUCUUAUCCCACUCGCAACUCCUCCCCUUCUUCCCCAAGGAACUCUUCUCGCCUCCCAAAAUCUGCCUCAACAAUGGCCCAAGAUUCCAUUUAACCAUGUCCUCUCCUUUGGGGCAGAAAUCUCUGGGAGUAGGGGCAAGGUAGUUUAACCACGAACGGGGUGGGGACUAAA